AGAUAAUGAAAUGAACAAAACCAAAAUUAAUGAUCUUCCACUCUUCCAGUCUCCUUCGUCCCUAACAACCUCGAUCCAUAGCUGUAGAAAAAUAACCCUCUCUUCAUCAAUGUGAUUUUCCUUUAUCCCAAACAUUUCAUCUUCUUCGCGUCUUCAGCACCCAUAAUUUCUUUUCUUCAUCUUCUUCUCCUUCAUCUGAACAAAAUCGAACCACACCCAUCAUUAUCACCAUCGAACAUGCUGAUUUAAGGUAUCUCCUUGUAAACGGGUUGGGUGUUUAACGGUUUUCUUCAAUAGUUCAGGUUUCUUUCUGUCCUGUAGAACAAUCUCGGUCACCUGUAACUCAAGAACACAGGACCAGGAUUUUGGGAGAAACAGGCAAGGUGAUACAUGGGAAAAGGUUGGCCAAAUUCGAGAUAAAUUUGAAUAUGACAGAGAGAAAAGAAUGAGGGAGAAGGG